GAUGAAGAACGUAGCGAAAUGCGAAAAGUAAUGUGAAUUGCAGAAUUCAGUGAAUCAUCGAAUCUUUGAACGCACAUUGCGCCCGCCAGUAUUCUGGCGGGCAUGCCUGUCUGAGCGUCAUUUCAACCCUCACGCCCCUAGGGCGUGGUGUUGGGGAUCGGCCAGCGCCCGCGAGGGACGGCCGGCCCCUAAAUCUAGUGGCGGACCCGUCGUGGCCUCCCCUGCGAAGUAGUGAUAUUCCGCAUAGGAGAGCGACGAGCCCCUGCCGUUAAACCCCCAACUUUCUAAGGUUGACCUCAGAUCAGGUAGGAAUACCCGCUGAACUUAAGCAUAUCAAUAAGCGGAGGA
rnacentral:misc_RNA from 1 species